UGUGUUUGUUGGAUGGUUGUAUUUUUAUUUUUGAAGUAUUGAGUCUGUUGGAUGGUUGUUUUAUUAAUAUUGGAUAUAUUUAUUAGAUGAGUUGGUAUAAAUUAUAUUAUGGAAAUUAAGGAUGAUAUCUUUAAUUUGGUCAUUUAUAUGUGAAAAUCGCUCAAACAUGAUUGCAGGGAUCCUAGCAACGCCAUACGUUCAAUACAAAAUAGCCUGCGGGAAGCUACAGGGAUGACAAAAAGAGGGUGCUUCCUAUGUUGCACUGAAAAAAGGACCUAAGAGUCUCGAUUUCGCAAUUUUUUCUAGCAGCGGUAAUGGUUUUUUAUUUCAAAAACUGUUCGAUUUCGGUUUCAGUUUCAAUUUUAGGGAGCAAUCAUGGAUUUCAGGUUCGAUUUCUGUUUUUUAACUAACUGCAUCGAAUUCGCCCUAUUGACAUCUUUAUUACCAACUUAGUUGUCUAACCAAGAACUAGUUCAAAUUGUGGUGAUCCAAGGUAUGCUUGGAUGAAUUUAUAGAGGCUUAUAUACAUACAAAAUGAUAGCUGGCUCGAUGGAUAGGUAAGAGAGCUCCAAAUCAAAUAAUUUUUGUUUGAAAGUAUUUUAUACAUCUUAGAUUAUGAUCAAUGGUAUUGAUUUUCAUUUGGAAUGCACAACGCACUUUCUUGAUUUCCAUUGGGAAGCAUUUGGAGCCAAAUUCACUCAGAAGCAUUCUAACCUAACUUUGAAGAAUUUUAGCCAACUUGUAUAUCGGUAUGCAUAUACAUAUAUAUAUAUGUGUGUGUGUGUGUAUGUAUGCAUAUGUACUUAUUUAUGUGUGUAUAUGUCUAUAAUGUAUGUAUGUUCAUUUGUGUAUGCACGUACAUAUGUAUGUAUAUAUAUGUCUGUGCAUGUGUAUAUGUUGUGUGUAUGUAUGUAUGUUUGUAUGUGUUUUUAAGAGUUACCCUUUAUAGGAAUGAAAUGAGGCAAAGGGGGCUCGCAUAAAGAGAUUGGUGCAAUGAGCUUGGAUCAUCAUAAGUGAUCAACAAUAGAGAAGACAUGACCGCUAACAUUGAUUAGAAACAUUGGAAGCAUGUUUCAUCUACUUUGCUCUGAUUCCGUAGAAAAUGAUGACAUUUAGUUACUCAUCUUUAUUUACUAGAUCCCAGAUAUUGAAUUUAUUGCUGUACUUUAUCUUUUAUCAUUUUGAUUGAAGCAUUAUUCAAAAUACAUUUAAAGAAAAUAGCAUCAGAUAUUUUCAAUACAACUCUUGGGUUUCCUUAUUAUUUCAUUUUGGUGAUAGAUGUUUUACUGGUGGCGUGUUUUCCAGCUAGGUUUCAUUUUGUGGAUACUGGUGGGUUUCCUUUCCUUGUAUUUAGGUGUUUUCUAAAAGUUAUAGUCUGUACCUUACAGAUUCUCUCUCAGAGAAAAAAUGGGGUCCUGGAUAGAUGAUUGCAAGUUCCUAUAUCAACUCUUGUCCUCUUCAUUUGGACUCUUUCCACAUGUAGGGAGUUUUAGAAGGUUGAUACAUGAUUGGACGAGUUUAAAUGUGACAAAUAAGACAAACUUACCUGCUUAAAAAUUGGCCUUCUAGGUUUCACGAAAUAGACAUCUCCACAAAAUUUGCCUUAGCUUGGAAUUUCACACCAAGUCUUAGAGUGUUGACAGCUAGUUGAUAAUUAAUCACCACUUGGUCCUUCUGUGGGACUUUCUUAGCCUAGAGUUCUGCCCCGUAUCAAUGCCACUACCAAGCCCAAAUGAAGAAGCAACCUAGAAAUUUCUACUGCAUAGGUUCUUUUUAUUUGAGAACAAAAAACAAAAGCAGCACCUUCCCAAGAGCUUUUUAAACCACUCACAAGCUUAACACUCCUUUGAUGUUGCUCCAAAAACCACAAAGAUUAAAUGAUACUAAGAGAGCAAUUACCAAAUUAAUUACCAAACCAAAACCAUGAAACAGAUAGUGGUGCCAUUCUCAACCUUUUAAUUAGCCCCUUUAUUUUUGAGAAACUACCCAAAUACCCUUGCAGAUUCCUAUUUAAAGACGUUGAAGACCCUCUGAACCAAACCUUACAUUGCUGCUUACCCAAAUGAGCCAAGUAAAACUCCCUCAAGUUCAUUAGAAUCACACUACUCUAAGCAACCAAAUUAGACUUCCCCAUAUUGACUGAAAGAAAGCCUUGCAUGAGCCUCUUCAAACAAUUCGUAAUUGGCACAAGAAUCUCCAAAAGUGUAAAUAAUUUGAUGAGAAUAAAAACAAGAUCAAAUAAAAGCCAAUGAAAUAUUAUCUACUCCAUUCUUGCCAACAUAAGGCUGCAAUUACCCUUAUGGAGUUCACUAUUGUUGAAGUAACAAUCCAUGAUGGAUGCCACUAGGUUUAGUCACCUUACACCAAUUCAAGUGUCUAAUUGAGUAAGCGGUUUCCAAAACCUGGAUAGGUAAUUUUCAAUAUGUAACCAGUCAUCCAGU
rnacentral:lncRNA from 1 species